rnacentral:rRNA from 1 species
GAUGAACGCUGGCGGCGUGCCUAAUACAUGCAAGUCGAGCGAACAGACGAGGAGCUUGCUCCUUUGACGUUAGCGACGGACGGGUGAGUAACACGUGGGUAACCUACCUAUAAGACUGGGAUAACUUCGGGAAACCGGAGCUAAUACCGGAUAAUAUUUCGAACCGCAUGGUUCGAUAGUGAAAGAUGGCUUUGCUAUCACUUAUAGAUGGACCUGCGCCGUAUUAGCUAGUUGGUAAGGUAACGGCUUACCAAGGCAACGAUACGUAGCCGACCUGAGAGGGUGAUCGGCCACACUGGAACUGAGACACGGUCCAGACUCCUACGGGAGGCAGCAGUAGGGAAUCUUCCGCAAUGGGCGAAAGCCUGACGGAGCAACGCCGCGUGAGUGAUGAAGGUCUUCGGAUCGUAAAACUCUGUUAUUAGGGAAGAACAAACGUGUAAGUAACUGUGCACGUCUUGACGGUACCUAAUCAGAAAGCCACGGCUAACUACGUG